rfam:Schistosoma rodhaini strain Burundi genome assembly, scaffold: SROB_scaffold0001707
AUCCAGCUGACGAGUCCUAAAUAGGACGAAACAUGCGUCAAUCUGGAU